rnacentral:rRNA from 1 species
AACGGCGAGUGAAGCGGCAAAAGCUCAAAUUUGAAAUCUGGCGCCUGCAGGUGUCCGAGUUGUACUUUGGAGAGGCAUCUUCGUGAGGAGUCCAGCCUAUGUUCCUUGGAACAGGGCGUCACAGAGGGUGAGAAUCCCGUUCGUGGCUGGAUACUCCUUGCAGUAUGUAGUGUCUUCAAUGAGUCGAGUUGUUUGGGAAUGCAGCUCAAAAUGGGUGGUAAAUUUCAUCUAAAGCUAAAUAUUGGCGAGAGACCGAUAGCGCACAAGUAGAGUGAUCGAAAGAUGAAAAGCACUUUGAAAAUAGAGUCAAACAGUACGUGAAAUUGUUGAAAGGGAAGCGCUUGAGAUCAGAGUCAGCCUUUGACAAACAACAUUCCUUAUGGAUAGUGCACUUGUUAUUGGCUGGGCCAGCAUCAGUUGGGACGGUAGGAUAAAGGCCUUGGGAAUGUGACUCCCUUCCGGAGUGUUAUAGCCCUUGGUGCCAUACUGCCUGCCCUGACUGUGGACCGCGCUUCGGCUUGGAUGCUGGCUUAAUGGUCUUCAGCGGCCCGUCUUGAAACACGGACCAAGGAGUCUAACGUCUAUGCAAGUGUUUGGGCUCAAAACCCUCACGCGUAAUGAAAGUGAACGGAGGUGGGAACCCUGCAAGGGGUGCACCAUCGACCGAUCCUGAUGUCUUCGGAUGGAUUUGAGUAGGAGCAUAGCUGUUGGGACCCGAAAGAUGGUGAACUAUGCCUGAAUAGGGUGAAGCCAGAGGAAACUCUGGUGGAGGCUCGCAGCGGUUCUGACGUGCAAAUCGAUCGUCAAAUUUGGGUA